GGGAACUUAUUCUGCAUGAGGAGCUACGCCAGCUUCUUGAAUGAUACAGUAAGAUCUUGCUUUAGGAAUAAUCCCUUUGUCAGCUAUAUGGAGGAUGGACUGAUGAAGGGAGAGAUGAGGCAGGGAGCCACCCAGGAAGCUGUCACACUAGUCCAGAUCCUUAAGUUCACUGGUGUGGAUUGCAACUCUACUCGACAGUCUUGAGAAUUCUUUGUGGCUAUCAUGACCUGCUGAUUCACCUUAUAAAGGCCCAGGAUGUCUGCAUACAUCUUCAAGAUGGCAUCUGCCCAGCUCUAUCCCAUUAAGCAACGUGCCACAUCUUAUAACUUUAUUGCUAGCUCAUAAAGUUAUCUCUAUUUGAACAGCACAGAGUGAAAGCUUCAUCUUUGGUUAUUUCACUGUAUACACUGAGUUUGCCACUGUUCUUAAAAUGUGCUCUUCUUGGCAACAUAAACACUAAACCAGCCACUUGCACACAGCAUUGGUUAUUUUGAGUCACUGGAAAACGGCGUCCAUGUAAAUAAAUGAGUUACUUAAUAAAAUCA
rnacentral:lncRNA from 1 species